GACGAACGCUGGCGGCGUGCCUAACACAUGCAAGUCGAACGGGGUAACGACUUCGGUUGUUACUUAGUGGCGAACGGGUGAGUAACGCGUGAGAAACCUGCCUUUCAGUGGGGGACAACAGUUGGAAACGACUGCUAAUACCGCAUAACACUUUAGUACCGCAUGGUACAGAAGUCAAAGCUUUAUGUGCUGAGAGAUGGUCUCGCGUCUGAUUAGCUAGAUGGCGGGGUAACGGCCCACCAUGGCGACGAUCAGUAGCCGGUCUGAGAGGAUGAACGGCCACAUUGGGACUGAGAUACGGCCCAGACUCCUACGGGAGGCAGCAGUGGGGAAUAUUGGGCAAUGGGGGAAACCCUGACCCAGCAACGCCGCGUGAAGGAAGAAGGCCUUCGGGUUGUAAACUUCUUUUACCAGGGACGAAGAACGUGACGGUACCUGGAGAAAAAGCAACGGCUAACUACGUG
rnacentral:rRNA from 1 species